CCUCCCUGUGAUGAGGACCUUCUCACAGACCUGUACUGAGCUUUGUGAGGAAGAUGUAACUCUGAGGACGA
rnacentral:snoRNA from 1 species